rnacentral:piRNA from 1 species
UAAAUAAUGCAAAGUGGUGUGAAUGAAGUG